UACGAAGGGGGCUAGCGUUGCUCGGAAUCACUGGGCGUAAAGCGCACGUAGGCGGCUUUUUAAGUCAGGGGUGAAAUCCUGGAGCUCAACUCCAGAACUGCCUUUGAUACUGGGAAGCUUGAGUCCGGAAGAGGUGAGUGGAACUCCGAGUGUAGAGGUGAAAUUCGUAGAUAUUCGGAAGAACACCGGUGGCGAAGGCGGCCAUCUGGACGGAUACUGACGCUGAGACGCGAAAGCGUGGGUAGCAAACAGG
rnacentral:rRNA from 1 species